rnacentral:rRNA from 1 species
GACAGAGGGGGCAAGCGUUGCUCGGAAUUACUGGGCGUAAAGGGCGCGUAGGCGGGAUGGCAAGUCGGUUGUGAAAUCCUUCGGCUCAACCGAAGAACGUCGAUCGAUACUGCCAUUCUUGAGGGAUGCAGAGGAGACUGGAAUUCCCGGUGUAGCGGUGAAAUGUGUAGAGAUCGGGAGGAACACCGGUGGCGAAGGCGGGUCUCUGGGCAUCCCCUGACACUGAGGCGCGAAAGCGUGGGGAGCAAAUGGG